UAAGCGAAGCAAAAUAGGCUGUGGGCUGGAUUCUGCCCUCAAGCCCCCAGUUUGUGAUUUCAGCGUUGAUUUCUAGAACACUCAUCACCUUAUCUAAAUCUCUCUUCCCUUUUCUUAAAGUUAGACUGACCAAAGCCAACCUUUGGGAAAGAUAUUGAUUAGUACCAAUGGAGAAAUCAAAGAAUAUGUCCUAAGAGAUCAUGUGAGGAAGAUACUAAUUUCAAAUUAGACCUUCAGCCUCACUAUCAGCCAAGAUGUAGUAAUAGGGACUGACUAUCCUUCCACCUGAAACAACAACAACCAAAAAAACUGAGACAAAGUAAGGGGGACAAUUGUUCUUAUGACAUUGAACAUUAGUCAAUGAUGAACAGAGAUCUUUGAAAAAUGAAGAACAAAAGGAGUGAGCCCUACAAUUGACUUAGUUCACUGCCCUGGUGGAAGUUUCUGGGCCAUGACAUAAGUAAGGGAACCCACAGAGCCUGGUAGCCUCCUCAAGUUGAGGGGAUAGAACUGGGAAUCUGAGUUGGACAAAGUGGCUUGAAUUCUCAGGGUAGAAUACUGGAGAGAGGAAUGCUGUAAAGAGAGAUCUGCAGAUGAUCAUCUUGAAAUAUUCAGCUGAGAAUUGACUAGUGCAUGCAUGUGAGCAAGCUACCCAAGGCAGAGGAAAAAACUUUGGGAAGGGUGGGAGGGUAGAGUACCUGAGGUUCACACAAAACCAGAAGUAGUGCCGUUCUCAACAGAUUGGAAAAUCACAUCUUCCAAAGUCAUCACCUAGAGGACUGAAAAAAGGUCUUCCCUCAAUAGUAAGAUAAAAUUAACCUAGAUAAUGAUUCCACGGAGAUGGUGGAGUAGGGAUCACCAGGAAUCAGUCUCCCAUCUAGACAAAAAUGGCACUGGCAGAAUCUGGUGUAACUAUUUUGGAAUUCUGGAAUGUUUUGAAGCAUUGCAACUUACAGAGGAAGGCUUGGAUGGUAAAUUUUGGUUAAUUUUGGUCAAUUUCAGCUCUUAACACAGUAGCAGCUACCCCAUCCCCACCCCAGCCACAUGGCAGGCAGCUGUGUGCAUGUUCUUGGAGCAGCUUACAUACAGCCUCUAGGAGCGAGGGUGGACAAAAAGGGCCCUGUCUUCCAAAUAUUGGUGAUCUGUGUUCUCACUGCUGAUUGUUGCUUCUGAUGCAAAAAGAUGGGUAGCCACUUUUGCUGCACCCCUCCCCAUACCCCUCAUGAUUCCCCCAUUACAAGCCCCUCCCCCUCUGGCUGAGCUGACUUCCAGGAAAUUUAAAUGGCCAGUGCUCUUUUCUGACCCCUUCAAUUUUCACCUUUCCCCUUUCAUGAGCCAGACUUUAAAGACUGGAUAUUCAAAAAUAACUGCAUGGCUAGAGAAAAUUUAAAAAUGAUUGCACUUGCCCAAGGAAAGGCUCAGAAAAGACCUAAGAAGAUAUAAUAUUUAUACCUCAGGCUGAUCCUUUGCACAGAGACAACCUCAAACAAACAAACAAAAACAAAAAUCCCCAAAACAAUAACAAACAAACAACCCAGCAAACCCUGGGGGAAGGGGAAAACUUGAUUACCAGACUUCCCAGAUUAUUAGAAUCAAAAGUCCAGUGUUCAACCAAAAUCCACACAAAGCAUACAAAGAAUUGGGACAGUGUGGCCCAUUCAAAGGAAAAACAACUUGACAAUUUGCCCCUGAAAUAAACUUAAUAAGAUAUAUGAAAUGAAUACUUUAAAACAACUGUCUUAAUAUGUUCAAGGAACUAAAGGAAGUUGUAGGGAAAAAUCAAGAAAACAAGGUGUGAACAAAAUAGGCAUAUCUAUAAAGAGAAAACCUAAAAAACGGGAAAUUCUGAAGCUGAAAAGUACAAUAACUGAAAUUGAAAAUUCACUAGCAAUAUUCAAAAAUAGAUUUGAGCAGGCAAAAGGAAAAAUCAGUGAACUUGAAGAUAGGACAAUGGAAAUUAUUCAGGCUGAGGAACAGGAAGCAAAAAGAUUCAAGAAAAGAAAUGAAGCUAAAGGAAAUAUGGGACAACACAAAAUGUAGCCACAUACUUAUCAUGGGAGUCCCAGAAAGCAAAGUGAAAGAGGCAGAGAAAACAUUUGAAUAAUGGCUGAAAACUUCUCAAAUUUAAUGAAAGCCGUGAAUAUAAACAUCCAAGGAGCUCAACAAACUCCAAGUAAGAUGAAUCUACAGACCCACAUUGAAACACAUAAUCAAACUCUCAAAAGACAAAGACAAAGAACAAAACUUGAAAGCAACAAAUCAUAACAUACAAGUUCUCCAAUAAGAUUAUCUGCAGAUUUCUUAUCAGAAAUUGUAGAGGUCAUAGGACAGUGGGCCAAUAUAUUCAAAGUGCUCAAAAAUACUAUCAACCAAGAUUCCUACAUCCAGCAAAACUAUUCUUCAAAAAUGAGGGUAAAAUCAAAACAUUUCCAGAGAAUAAAAGCUGAGAUGGUUUAUGACCAUUAGACCUGCCCUGCAGGAGCUGCUGGAGGGAGUCCUGCAAGGUGAAACAAAAUGGUAUUAGAUAGUAACUCAAAGCCAUAUGGAGAAACAAAGAUCUCAAUAAAAGUAAAUACAGGGGCGUCUUUAAAAGGUAGUGUUAUUGUAAUAAUGGUUUGUAACUAUACUUUUUGGUUUUUACAUGAGUUAAGAGACCAAUACAUUAAAAGAAAGAACAGUUAUUGGUGUAAAAGCUA